GAUGAACGCUGGCGGCGUGCCUAAUACAUGCAAGUCGAGCGAACAGACGAGGAGCUUGCUCCUCUGACGUUAGCGGCGGACGGGUGAGUAACACGUGGAUAACCUACCUAUAAGACUGGGAUAACUUCGGGAAACCGGCGCUAAUACCGGAUAAUAUAUUGAACCGCAUGGUUCAAUAGUGAAAGACGGUUUUGCUGUCACUUAUAGAUGGAUCCGCGCCGCAUUAGCUAGUUGGUAAGGUAACGGCUUACCAAGGCAACGAUGCGUAGCCGACCUGAGAGAGUGAUCGGCCGCACUGGAACUGAGACACGGUCCAGACUCCUACGGGAGGCAGCAGUAGGGAAUCUGCCGCAAUGGGCGAAAGCCUGACGGAGCAACGCCGCGUGAGUGAUGAAGGUCUUCGGAUCGUAAAACUCUGUUAUUAGGGAAGAACAAAUGUGUAAGUAACUAUGCACGUCUUGACGGUACCUAGUCAGAAAGCCACGGCUAACUACGUG
rnacentral:rRNA from 1 species